GAUGAACGCUGGCGGCGUGCCUAAUACAUGCAAGUCGAGCGAACAGAUGAGGAGCUUGCUCCUCUGACGUUAGCGGCGGACGGGUGAGUAACACGUGGAUAACCUACCUAUAAGACUGGGAUAACUUCGGGAAACCGGAGCUAAUACCGGAUAAUAUAUUGAACCGCAUGGUUCAAUAGUGAAAGACGGUUUUGCUGUCACUUAUAGAUGGAUCCGCGCCGCAUUAGCUAGUUGGUAAGGUAACGGCUUACCAAGGCAACGAUGCGUAGCCGGCCUGAGAGGGUGAUCGGCCACACUGGAACUGAGACACGGUCCAGACUCCUACGGGAGGCAGCAGUAGGGAAUCUUCCGCAAUGGCGAAAGCCUGACGGAGCAACGCCGCGUGAGUGAUGAAGGUCUUCGGAUCGUAAAACUCUGUUAUUAGGGAAGAACAAAUGUGUAAGUAACUAUGCACGUCUUGACGGUACCUAAUCAGAAAGCCACGGCUAACUACGUG
rnacentral:rRNA from 1 species